rnacentral:rRNA from 1 species
UGUGCGAAGGUAGCAUAAUCAUUAGUCUUUUAAUUGGAGGCUCGUAUGAAUGGUUGGACAAAAAGCAAACUGUCUCAAUUAUAUUUAUUGAAUUUAACUUUUAAGUGAAAAGGCUUAAAUAAAUUAAGGGGACGAUAAGACCCUAUAAAGCUUUACAAUAAGUUACCUAUAUUAUAAAUUGUUAGUAUAACUUGAGUUUAGGUAACGUUUGUUGCGUUGGGGCGACGAGAAUAUAAUAAGUAACUGUUCUUAAGUUAUUUAAUGACAGAAAUUUCUGGAAAAUUAAUGAUCCUCUACUAGAGAUCAUAAGAUUAAGUUACUUUAGGGAUAACAGCGUAAUCUUCUUUGAGAGUCCACAUCGACAGGAAGGGUUGCGACCCCGAUGUUGAA